AGAGACAGCAGUAGCGGUAAUACGGAGGGUGCAAGCGUUAAUCGGAAUUACUGGGCGUAAAGCGCACGCAGGCGGUCUGACAAGUCAGAUGUGAAAUCCCCGGGCUUAACCUGGGAACUGCAUUUGAAACUGUCAGGCUGGAGUCUUGUAGAGGGGGGUGGAAUUCCAGGUGUAGCGGUGAAAUGCGUAGAGAUCUGGAGGAAUACCGGUGGCGAAGGCGGCCCCCUGGACAAAGACUGACGCUCAGGUGCGAAAGCGUGGGGAGCAAACAGGAUUAGAUACCCGGGUAGUCCCUGUCUCUUAUACACA
rnacentral:rRNA from 1 species